rnacentral:rRNA from 1 species
ACGAGUUUGAUCCUGGCUCAGGAUGAACGCUAGCGGCAGGCUUAAUACAUGCAAGUCAAGGGGGUAGCAAUACAACCGGCGCACGGGUGAGUAACGCGUACACAACAUACCAUAUACUGGGGUAUAGCUUUGGGAAACUGAAGGUAAUCCCCCAUAACAUUGCGAGAGGGCAUCUGAUUGCAAUUAAAGUUUCGACGGUAUAUGAUUGAUGUGCGUUUGAUUAGCUUGUUGGUAGGGUAACGGCCUACCAAGGCGACGAUCAAUAGCUGGCGUGAGAGCGCGACCAGCCACACUGGAACUGAGACACGGUCCAGACUCCUACGGGAGGCAGCAGUAGGGAAUAUUGGACAAUGGGCGAAAGCCUGAUCCAGCCAUGCCGCGUGAUAGAUGAAGGCCCUCUGGGUUGUAAAUAUCUUUUAUCUGGGAAGAAACAAUCUUAUUCUUAAGAUCUUGACGGUACCAGAGGAAUAAGCACCGGCUAACUCCGUG